GUUCUUUUUUAAACAGGUAGAGGGUGGAAGGGAGGCAGAUUUUGUGUUCUGGGUUCCUCCAUUUUGUGUAUGGUGGUGUGGUUUGUGUGCAGGUUCUGAAUGGGUUCCAGUUGGCUUUCAGGAUUUUAUUUACAAGAAAAUUAUAUUAAAUAAGAACUAUACCUACCUUGGAGCAUCUCUUGGACAACUUGUUGCUGUUGGACUGCCACUGGAACUACAGAAUAAGCAUCAACAAACAAACAAACAAACAGUCGGGUCUGUGAGGAUGAGAAGGUCUCCACAGUCUGGAGUCUGGUCUCUGACAGGCUCAACAUACCUGUCAAUCAACAGGGACUCCUCUACAAAGGCAAGGCGCUGGCAGGUAGGCUGAACAGCACAGCACAGCACAGCACAGCACAGCACAGCACAGCUCACCCCUCCUCUCACCCCUCGCCUCAUCCCUCCUCUCACUCCUCGCCUCACCCCGGGUCAGUGUGGCACAGCCUGCCUGCUCUUCUGAACAAACACUUCAGCCCUGCCGACGCAGUGAGAGUCUGGAGCAGCAACACAAGGUAACCUGAACACAAACACACACACACACACAGACACACACAAACACACACACAGUGAGAGGCUGGAGCAGCUACACAAGGUAAAUUGAACACAAUAAACACGGCUACACACACAAUCCUAGCUGCAGCAGAUGUACAAUGUUAUACAGACACACACAGACACAGCUGUACAGUGACACAGAGACGCACACACAAUCACAGCUGCAGCAUACACACUCUGAAAUGCAGGUGUAGAGCAGCGUGUAGUUGUGACUCUGUGUCUCUCUCCUCCCCCUCUCCUCUCCUCUCCUUACUUUGUUUAAAAGAAUAGAAGCACACCCAGUGAGCAAGGCAUUGAGCAGCCCCACAUCCCGCUUCACAAUACCGCUACAUAUUGACUGACUGUUCGCAUUGUGUGUGUUUGGUAAGACAAACCACAUUUUCUACUUCUACUUUCUACGAUUGGGCAAGUCAGCGGUUGUUUGAUAACAGAACAUAAAACAUCACAGAGUGGGUUGAACUGCAUUGCUGGAAAUCAAGGCCCUUUAAAAUGUGUACCUUCCCAGCUCAGGUAUUGCUGAGGUAAAGAGACACUUCCUACAGGAGGACAGGACGUUGUCAAGGAGGGGAUGUCGUCACGUGUCCUGAGGGCUUUCUUAAAAACAUUGUUUUAUUAUUUCUAAGCGUACGUUGUUAUUGCCUUUUAGCUCUUGAGCAUAAUAAUCUCAAUCCCGUUUGAAAUGACACUAAGUGCAUUUGCAUGGUGGCAGAUGAGGGAUGUCGCUUCACUCGAGGCUUGCGUACUGAUGAAGAUGUAGUUUCAGUGUUUAAUGCUCAUCCCCUCACUGUGUGUCUGUGUGUGUUCUUGUCUCUCGCCUGUCCUGUGAGGAUGAAGAUGUAGUUUCAGUGUUUAAUGCUCAUCCCCUCACUGUGUGUCUGUGUGUUCUUGUCUCUUGACAGGUCUGUGAGGAUGAGAAGGUCUCCACAGUCUGGAGUCUGGUCUCUGACAGGCUCAACAUACCUGUCAAUCAACAGGGACUCCUCUACAAAGGCAAGGCGCUGGCAGGUAGGCUGAACAGCACAGCACAGCACAGCACAGCACAGCACAGCUCACCCCUCCUCUCACCCCUCGCCUCAUCCCUCCUCUCACUCCUCGCCUCACCCCGGGUCAGUGUGGCACAGCCUGCCUGCUCUUCUGAACAAACACUUCAGCCCUGCCGACGCAGUGAGAGUCUGGAGCAGCAACACAAGGUAACCUGAACACAAACACACACACACACACAGACACACACAAACACACACACAGUGAGAGGCUGGAGCAGCUACACAAGGUAAAUUGAACACAAUAAACACGGCUACACACACAAUCCUAGCUGCAGCAGAUGUACAAUGUUAUACAGACACACACAGACACAGCUGUACAGUGACACAGAGACGCACACACAAUCACAGCUGCAGCAUACACACUCUGAAAUGCAGGUGUAGAGCAGCGUGUAGUUGUGACUCUGUGUCUCUCUCCUCCCCCUCUCCUCUCCUCUCCUUACUUUGUUUAAAAGAAUAGAAGCACACCCAGUGAGCAAGGCAUUGAGCAGCCCCACAUCCCGCUUCACAAUACCGCUACAUAUUGACUGACUGUUCGCAUUGUGUGUGUUUGGUAAGACAAACCACAUUUUCUACUUCUACUUUCUACGAUUGGGCAAGUCAGCGGUUGUUUGAUAACAGAACAUAAAACAUCACAGAGUGGGUUGAACUGCAUUGCUGGAAAUCAAGGCCCUUUAAAAUGUGUACCUUCCCAGCUCAGGUAUUGCUGAGGUAAAGAGACACUUCCUACAGGAGGACAGGACGUUGUCAAGGAGGGGAUGUCGUCACGUGUCCUGAGGGCUUUCUUAAAAACAUUGUUUUAUUAUUUCUAAGCGUACGUUGUUAUUGCCUUUUAGCUCUUGAGCAUAAUAAUCUCAAUCCCGUUUGAAAUGACACUAAGUGCAUUUGCAUGGUGGCAGAUGAGGGAUGUCGCUUCACUCGAGGCUUGCGUACUGAUGAAGAUGUAGUUUCAGUGUUUAAUGCUCAUCCCCUCACUGUGUGUCUGUGUGUGUUCUUGUCUCUCGCCUGUCCUGUGAGGAUGAAGAUGUAGUUUCAGUGUUUAAUGCUCAUCCCCUCACUGUGUGUCUGUGUGUUCUUGUCUCUUGACAGGUCUGUGAGGAUGAGAAGGUCUCCACAGUCUGGAGUCUGGUCUCUGACAGGCUCAACAUACCUGUCAAUCAACAGGGACUCCUCUACAAAGGCAAGGCGCUGGCAGGUAGGCUGAACAGCACAGCACAGCACAGCACAGCACAGCACAGCUCACCCCUCCUCUCACCCCUCGCCUCAUCCCUCCUCUCACUCCUCGCCUCACCCCGGGUCAGUGUGGCACAGCCUGCCUGCUCUUCUAAACAAACACUUCAGCCCUGCCGACGCAGUGAGAGUCUGGAGCAGCAACACGAGGUGAUGAAGUGACACUUUGAAUAUGGGGCCUGAUGAGAGAAGUAUCCUUUUCAUGUGGUUUUGGUUUUGCCGUUGUGAGCAGGUAUGGGAGACAGCACCGUGUCUGCAUGUGAAAUAACAAAGUCAUCGCAGUGGAGGGACUCUCUGAAGGCUGCUGUUUGUGGAUUUGUCUUGUAAUGUGAUGAAGUGACACUUUGAAUAUGGGGCCUGAUGAGAGAAGUAUCCUUUUCUGUGUGCCUGAGUGACAUCCAGAACUUAAGAGAAGUCGUUUCAAUUCUGGUUCUUUCUUGAGGAGAGGUGCCUUGUAGUGGUGAGUGUCAGGGUCAGUGUGGCUCGCUCCUGUGACUCUGAGCCCUGGAGCCGCUUUUAAGGGACAGUGUCCUGCAGAGUCUGCCUGUCUGCCCUUGACAUUGUGUGAGGGCGUUUGUACCUGAGAAUCAGGACUAGCUUCUCGUGACGAAUGGGAUGCUGGCUGGAGCAUUUCUUUAUGUAGUUCAGCAUGUUAGUUCACAUGUAGCUGACAGUGUGGACGUGCUCAUCUUGCAUUGCGAGUGUCAGCUGGUUAAUUCAUGACUACAGUAACCUGCAGGUCACAGCUUGCACAGGUUCAUCAACAUUGUCAGUUCCUCAUGUAUCCAGUGUGCGCAGUGCUGUAGCAGACAGUGAGGAGUAGUGGAGCAACAAUCAAUCCAUUUAUCCAUCCUCUGCCCUUAAAUUUCCCGAGCUGCGAUUACAUAUUGUUGAAUCAAUGCAUGAGAUGAGAGCCCAGUUUGGAGUCUGCUGUUGCCGUUGUCUCAGGAAAUAUGUUGAUCAAGCUCUAGAAUUUAAAGGGGAGGUUCCAUUGUUUCUAAUGUAACCGAGCCUAGGCUAGGAAAUAAGUAGAUCGAGCCAGGAAAUAAGUUGAUCGGAUAUGUUAAUGAAAAAUAAAUAAUUUAAAAUUCAUUUUGUAGGUAUAAUUUAUAUCAAUUUGUAGAUCGGAUUUAUUCAUCAGUAUGCUGCUUGAUAAGAUGAUGUGAAUAUCGCUUUAGAUCCGAUAUAUUAGCCUAACAAAAAUGCAUAAUUUAAAAUGACUUUUGUACGUAUAAUUUACAUUAACAUGUAGAUCGGAUACAUUCGACAGCAUUACGCUAGAUAAGGGAAUGUGAAUAUCGCUGUAAUAUAUAUUAGCAGCAAAUAAAUCAUUUAAAAUGAAUUGUACGAUUGUACAUUUCUGAUUGUGUAUUUCUGUUUGUGUAACAAACGUUAACUAGCAAAACGUGUUGCGUAUUGAAGUUAUUUUGCAUUUCUGGAGGUGUUUUUGUUUUGGGAAGCACUACAGUUUGGACAGCAGGUAUGCGAGCGAUUGUCCAAAAGUUAAAGCAUGAGUUUCAAUCAUGGAAAACAUUAAGCUCCAUGCUGCAAUCACUAACUAGGCCACGGAGCACAUCAAUCACAGGAUGUACUUGAAAAACGUUGCUAAUACAGUAUUAUUAUUUGAUAUUUGUUCUUUCAUUUAUUUUACAUACAGUAUUUUGUAUAAUAAAGGACAGAAAAUGAACAGGAAACUGGUUAUCAUAGUGCAUGUGUUUCAAUUACAAGUUUGGGAAGAAACAAUACAUUCAUUAAUUAAAAUCUAAAGAGUUAACGUCUUUGCUAAACCGUGGUAAAUACCUGUAGUUCAAUACGAACCAUGAUUUUGUGUUGUGAGAGAGAUCAUACAGUAUAUGCAGGCUACUAUAUAUCAGCAUCAUUUUAAAAUGGUAAAUCCCUGUAGUGCAACAACCAAUAAGACAUGUAACGAGAAAGAGAUACAGUAUAUUGAAUUAAAGUGAAUUAUCACGAUUUAAAAUAUUAGCUAUACUAAUAUUAAAAUGUAUAAAAUGACUUGCCCUGCUAAUAAUAUUAUGGAUGCAGCAUGUCAUUAUAUUACUGAAACAUUUUAAGUUUGAUUAAAGAUUGACAACAUUUUGACAUGCAAAAUCAUUUAAUAUAUAGAUAAAUCUCCGCGAUCACACAUAAACUACAUCAGAUUGACAUCGAUGUUAUAGAAACAUAAAAAGACAGGGGUUUAAAACAGUUUACCAUUGAAACAGUCGUCGAUCACACAUUUUAAAGUUCAUACGAAAAGACAGUGGCACGAACACGCACCAACAUAAUACACGGGCAGAUCAAAAUAAAAAGCCAUGCAGUGAACCUCCCCUUUAAUCAAACUGUAGCCCUGCCUUACUUUUGUCUACUUUUAGAACAUAUGAACAUAAGAAAGUUUACAAAUGAGAGGAGGCCAUUCAGCCCAUCUUUGCUUGUUUGGUUGUUAGUAGCUUAUUGAUCCCAGAAUCUCAUCAAGCAGCUUCUUGAAGGAUCCCAGGGUGUCAGCUUCAACAACAUUACUGGGGAGUUGGUUCCAGACCCUCACAAUUCUCUGUGUAAAAAAGUGCCUCCUAUUUUCUGUUCUGAAUGCCCCUUUAUCUAAUCUCCAUUUGUGACCCCUGGUCCUUGUUUCUUUUUUCAGGUCAAAGAAGUCCCAUGGGUCGACAUUGUCUACCUUUUAGGAUUUUGAAUGUUUGAAUCAGAUCGCCCUGUAGUCGUCUUUGUUCAAGACUGAAUAGAUUCAAUUCUUUUAGCCUGUCUGCAUAUGACAUGCCUUUUAAACCCGGGAUAAUUCUGGUUGCUCUUCUUUGCACUCUUUCUAGAGCAGCAAUAUCCUUUUUGUAACAAGGUGACCAGAACUGAACACAAUAUUCUAGGUGAGGUCUUACUAAUUCAUUGUAAAAUUUUAACAUUACUUCCCUUGAUUUACAUUCAACACUCCUCACAAUAUAUCCAAGCAUCUUGUUGGCAUUUUUUUUAUAGCUUCCCCACAUUGUCUAGAAGAAGACAUUUCUGAGUCAACAUAAACUCCUAGGUCUUUUUCAUAGUUCCCUUCUUCAAUUUCAGUAUCUCCCAUAUGAUAUUUGUAAUGCACGUUUUUAUUGCCUGCAUGCAAUACUUUACACUUUUCUCUAUUAAAUUUCAUUUGUCAUGUGUCUGCCCAGGUCUGAAUGCUGUCUAGAUCAUUUUGAAUGACCUUUGCUGCUGCAACAGUGUUUGCCACUCCUAUUUUUGUGUUGUCUGCAGAUUUAACAAGUUUGCUUACUAUACCAGAAUCUAAAUAAUUAAUGUAGAUUAGGAAUAGCAGAGGACCCAAUACUGAUCCCUGUGGUACACCACUGGUUACCUUGCUCCAUUUUGAGGUUUCUCCUCUAAGCAGUACUUUCUGUUUUCUACAUGUUUACCACUCCCUAAUCCAUGUGCAUGCAUUUGCAUCCAUGUGCAUCCCCUGGUCAGCUGUCCAGCUCACUGCUGCAGAAGUUUGUUUGGGGCUGGGACAAUGGACUUGUGUGUUUUAGCCAUUUGUUAAUCUUUGAAGAGGACCUGCAAGUUUGUCUUGCAGUCUUCCCUGCAAUAAUGAUGGACUUUAUUUAUUUGAGAAUCUGUGUUGGAAAAUGUACUUUUUGACGGUGAAGUUGUGUUUAAAAAAACAAGUAAAGGAAAUGUACAUGAUCUCUAACUCGCUAUUUGACAAAUAACAAUUAAAAAAUGAAAGCAUGUGUGAUGCCUAUUUCCCUGCAAGCCCUUUUCUUUGCCCACUGGAGCACACAGCCUCUUAUGGGGGUUUGGAACCGCAAAUCACUGCAUCUUAAACACACAGCUCUAGAGUCCGUAACUACAGCAUGUACUGUACCGUUUAUUGUGUGUGUUUUAAUGAAGUCUGCUGCUGUACUUGUCUGGCUGUGAGCUUUUGCGUUACCAACAAACAAGGAAUUAAACAAAACAAAAGCAGCUCCGUUCUCAGCCUGGCGUGAGAUUGAUUUUUUUUUUUUUUUUAUCUACAAUGGGAAGUGCUUUAGACUGAACAACCUCAAGCUCCCUUCAUCUUGUCACAGCUCUGCACUGUGAUAUAAAGUCUAUUUCCUGUACAUUGUCAUUAUUUUUUGUGUUUUAUUUAUUGUGAUUAUUAUUAUGAUUUUAAGAAUGUAUCGGAAAUGUCUUUGUUUUUGCACAGUGGUAAGGUUAGUCCGAGUCAUUACAAUGGGCAACUGAGCUGUGUUAAGAUAAAACUUUUUUUUUUUAAAUUAAAGAAAAUUAUCUUUAUUAAAAUCAACAGUUCUACUAAAUGGCCACACGAUGGCAGCAUUGAAUAAGGAAUAGCAAGAGCUUCGUUCUGCCUGUCUUCAUAAAGUGCACUGCCUGCUUUGCCCAUUGUUGUAACCUGCUUGACAAAGCCACGCUGAAUUAAUCAGCUCACUGGGGGUGGAGGUGUGU